UGCAUUUAUUUCUUGGUUAAACAACUAAUGGAAAUCCUGAGCUUACUAGUGACUUUUAAUUAGGAACUUGCUUUUCUAGCAGAAAAACUUGAAUCUGGAAACAAAAAAAUGACAAAAGAGACAAACAUGUUAUUCCCAUGAAUCUAAGUAAGUAGGCUUCUCAAUUUUUGGUUAGUUGUUUUUGUGAAUCUAGGUAAGUUGGCUUUCCAACAUUGGUUAAGUUAUUGUCUGAACCUAGGAAAGUUGGCUUCUCAAUGUUUGUUUAGGGUAGUACAUUUUUGUUAGUUGUUACAUGCAUGGAUGCUAAAGGCAAUGGGUUGUUUUAGAAGGUUGGUAGUAAAUAUGCCAGCUUAUGUUUAUUCCAUUUUUGAUUCAAAUUUUGUUCUGCCUGUUGCCACAUAUUUUUGUCUAACAUGAGUUUUCAUUUUUUGCUGAUUUGGCAAAAAAGUAGUUGAAAGAAGGUGUUGGCGCCAUCAUAAGAGGUGGUCUUUUUGUUGGGAUGACAAGGACUGAAGAAUUUAUAUUUUCGAAGUUGCCACAGGGUUUUUCCUAUGAGAGUAAUGCGACAAGAACAAGUGUGUGGGGGCGUCAGCAUAGUCAACGGAGAAAAUUCUAUAGCUGAUCUAUUGAUGCUACCGAAACUGUUUAGUAGACAACUAUGUACAUAUGCAGAUAAAUAGUGAUGUUUUUCGAGUUACAUAACUAUUAGUACUAGUGCACCUACAUAUUCAGUACCAUGGAAACAUUUUGUAGCACAAACCAUAUGAGUUUGUAUUAAAAAAAACCCUAGUAUCUUGUUCAUAUGCAA